rnacentral:rRNA from 1 species
CCUACGGGAGGCAGCAGUGAGGAAUAUUGCCCAAUGGGGGAAACCCUGAGGCAGCAACGCCGCGUGGAUGAAGAAGACCUUCGGGUCGUAAACUCCUGUCGGGAGGGAAGAAUGGCCUUCGGGUUAAUACGCCGGAGGCGUGACGGUACCUCUAGAGGAAGCCCCGGCUAACUCCGUGCCAGCAGCCGCGGU